GAAAAUGGAGGGGAGGGAAGACCCUUCCCUUAUUUUUAACCAGGAGAAUUAAGCAUCUGAUGUUGAAUUUGUGCUUGCCCUUUCAGAGUGGAACGUGGGAAAUUGGAGAUGAGCGUCCAUUGCCCAUAGCCCAGUGUGGCCUGGCAGCAGCCUCUGCCCAUAGGUGACACACUGGGGGUGGAGGGAGGUCUUCGUGUAAUCUGCAAGGGUCCUUUGGUUGCAUUGAGAUGUUUUAAUCCCUUUCCAGGAACCUCUGGGACACAGCUGGGAGGGUGCAGGGCUGGUCUGUGAAGGCACUCAGUGACCUCGGGGAGUGUGCCUGUGUAUGGGGGGGGGGCUGGGCCAGCAACUAAGAUACGCUCUCCAGUUUGAGGUUUGAGUCUCAGUGAGAAGCUGAGACGAGACCUUUCGUUUCCUGGAAAAGCCACUCCCUUUUGAGAGUCAAGCCCAGGGAGUGUCAGCCACUAACUGCCGCCUCAAAGGCCCAGGGCCUGCUCUCCUGCCUGGCUGGCCGGCCCUGUCUCACGGCCCUGUGGGAGUGGACCUGUGGGGCCAGGGAAUGGCAGCACUUCCCAUUCUGUGGGGCUGGGUGCUCGUGGCUGCCGUGAGGACAGGUGCCACUUCAAGUUUUGUGGAGCAAAAGCCCAAGUGGGCCCUGGUGCGUCGCGGAGCGGCUGAAACGCUGCAAUGCUUUCUGAGGGAUACCCAGUACCCCUGGAUGAGCUGGUACCAGCAGGAUCUCCAGGGGCAACUCCAGGUGCUGGCCACUCUGCGGUAUUCUGGGGACAAGGAGGUCAUAUCCCUUCCUGGAGCGGAUUACCGGGUCAUGCGCGUGGAUGACAAGGAGCUGAGGCUGCACGUGGCCAACGUGACACAGGGCAGAACCCUGUACUGCAGCUGCAGCAAAGACACAGUGAGAAACUCUCCUUAGACAAAUGAAUAAAAACCUCCCUGGGUUCCCACCCCUGAGCCUAAGCUCCUCCUCCUCUGCCUGCCCCUACAGCACCGGAGCCUGCUUGUCCCCGUCCCAGGUCCUCCCUUCUGGCCUCUUGACUGCACAGGACUCGGCCUGCACGGCACAGGGGUGGCCCACAGGCUCUGGAGGACCCACCUGCAGACCUUGGCUCUGCCAUCUGUGAGCUGUGGGGACGACGUCCUCUCUUUGAAACUUAGUUUCUGAGCCUGUACAGACAGUAACUCUACCCAGCGCAGCGGGCCCUGUGAGGAUUAAACACCCCAGUUCAGGUAAAGCCUUUAGAAUAAGACACAGAUACACAGGAAGCACUUAGCUUAAGGAGCAUUAGCUCUUGUCCACACAAUCUGCACACAAGAAACAAGCAUAUUGUAUUUUCAUGCCAAUCUCAAUGUCCAGAGGGCACUGGAAAGAAACCUGGAGGCAUUCUGGGAGCUCAGAAAGGGGGAGAAUGGAUGUCUCAGCCUAUGGUCCCCACUCACACCCCUGGAAUAAACACCCGCUUUUCCAGUUACAUCUCCAUUCCCCGUGCUCACUACCGCCUCAGCUUCUCACACCCCUGUCUCAGACUGAUCAGUACUUAAAAGUAAGAUCCUCCGAGAGGGUCCGACUUGGAAAGGUCCAGGAUCCGGAAUCCACAGUGGAGGGCUUACCCAGCACCUUUUAAAACGCCACUGCUCAGGGCCGGCUCUGCUCCCGCCUGGGAGUCAGGGGAAGGCAGGGCUAGGCCAGACCCCGCAAACAUCUGGAACCGGCAGCCGGGAGGUGCAUUGUGGGAGAGGCCCAGCUCCUGAGACCUGUGCAGAGCCCGGAGGCAUGGCUACAGGCUACAGGAGGGGAGCCACUCUGGCUCCAGUUCGGAGCUUCUCCACCCCAAAGGAGCAGGUAACUGCCGUGCGAGGUGGGCGUGAGAGAAGAGGAGGCGUUGCAAAGGCCCU